UCAACAAAGAGGCCGAGCAGCUGAUUGGUGUGCCACUUGAGAAGAUAUUGACAGAACUAGAUCAGGUACACAAAUUGGUUGUGGAAAUUUUCAACAACAAUAAUAUCGUUUCGGCAUAUUAACCAACCAAACCUUUUCAUGGACCAGGAAGGAAACAUGGAAGACAUACCUACUCCCAUCAAAAACAUGGUGGGCAAAUUCUGUGCGUUCCAAAUUAAGGUGACUCAGUACAACAUAACAACGGGAUGCGAAGAAUACACGGUCACUCGAGUCUCCGAAUGUUCAAAGACGCCCGCCACAACAUCUACUGCUGAGGAAGAAACCCACAAGGACAAAAGGAUGAAGACUGCUUAGAUGUUAGCAGUCAACAUUACGUAUGCCCAUUUACAUUUUGCGCAGCAAGGCUUCUAAGAACAAUAUUACUCCAAACUUUGAACAAUAUUUUAUAUCACCUAAACAUUAUA
rnacentral:lncRNA from 1 species